AGCAGCCGCGGUAAUUCCAGCUCCAAUAGCGUAUAUUAAAGUUGUUGCAGUUAAAAAGCUCGUAGUUGAAUUUCGGGAUUAAUAUGCUGGUCGUGCCAUUGGUACGUACUAGUAUUAUUGAUUUCUCCCUUCUGAUAAAUCAUGAUGUCAUUAAUUUGAUGUCAUGAGGAAUCAGGACUGUUACUUUGAAAAAUUAGAGUGUUUAAAGCAGGCUCGCGCUUGAAUACAUUAGCAUGGAAUAAUGAAAUAGGACGUUUGAUUCUAUUUUGUUGGUUUUCUAGGAUUGACGUAAUGAUUAAUAGGGAUAGUUGGGGCAUUAGUAUUCAAUUGUCAGA
rnacentral:rRNA from 1 species